CUCACAUCAAACAACUCAGAACAUGUUUAUAACGUCACUGACAUUGAAAUUACAGGAGAUAAACACUAACCCAACAACACUGGAUGAUAAUGAUGAUGACACAUUGUCUGACACAGAGAGGACUUCAGAAGUGCCUACAGAGAGCAUGACUGGGCAUUGCCAGGCUGAUGGAGGAGGGUCCAUCAACCUGCACAGCACAGAUCCACACUGUGAGAUGUUCAGAAAAUGGCAGGUUACUUCUUCAUGUUGAACUGUAGGAUUUAAUGUCAUUUUUAUGUCUCCCAUGUUUCCCAAAUGGCUUGGAAGUUAACACGUAGUCAUAAUGUGCCACAUCUGAGUCAAUAUUUCAUUCUUGUCCUGUUGUCUGAUAACAGAAACAUUAAGAAAAAUACCCUGUAAGUAUUUUAUUGAUCAUACAUUGAUACAUAUGUUGAUACAUAUGUUCUAAAUACUUACAGUGUAACUUUUGGACUGUAAUCUAAAGUGUUACAGAGUAAUGCAAAACAAAAACAACUCACAAACCAA